UACGUAGGGCGCAAGCGUUGUCCGGAAUUAUUGGGCGUAAAGAGCUCGUAGGUGGCUUGUUGCGUCUGCCGUGAAAGCCCGUGGCUUAACUACGGGUCUGCGGUGGAUACGGGCAGGCUAGAGGCUGGUAGGGGCAAGCGGAAUUCCUGGUGUAGCGGUGAAAUGCGCAGAUAUCAGGAGGAACACCCAUAGCGAAGGCAGCUUGCUGGGACGUUACUGACGCUAAGGCGCGAAAGCGUGGGGAGCAAACAGG
rnacentral:rRNA from 1 species